rnacentral:lncRNA from 1 species
CAGAAAACCAUAAGCUCCAUGAGGACAAGAGUCACAUGUCCAUUACAGUCCUAACAUGUUGCUCUGGCAUCUAACCACUCAAGACGUGAUUACUGCAUACAAUAAGUUUAAGGAGGCCUUCCAGGUGGCAGGAUAUUACACUUGUUCCUCCACAACAUCUUUAUAUUCAGCUCAAAUCCUGAUCCUACUACUUAGCAGUUGUGGAAUCAUGGGCAAGGUCCCUAACUGCACAGUGUUCUAGAUGCUGUUCCGGCUGAGGCAGGAGAAUCGCUUGAACCCGGGAGGCAGAGGUUGCAGUGAGCCGAGAUCGUGCCAUUGCACUCCAGCCUGGGCGACAAGGUAUUACAGCAGUGCAUCGGGAAAAAAAUAUAAAAUGCUCUGAGCCCACUAAGUAGCCAUGAAUGAUGAGAAGAUGUUUGAGUGGUAGACCAUUUUUGUGUUUCCUGAUAAGGGAGUCAGAAUUCAGUCUGAAGGAAGACACUUGUACAUGACAACUUCAAAUAUUUUUCACAUUGGCUAUGGUAUACUGAUUUAGAAAAG